rnacentral:rRNA from 1 species
UCUCCUACGGGGCGCAGCAGUCGGGAAUAUUGCGCAAUGGAGGAAACUCUGACGCAGUGACGCCGCGUGCAGGAAGAAGGUUUUCGGAUUGUAAACUGCUUUAGACAGGGAAGAUAAAAGACAGUACCUGUAGAAUAAGCUCCGGCUAACUACGUGCCAGCAGCCGCGGUAAUACGUAGGGAGCAAGCGUUAUCCGGAUUUAUUGGGUGUAAAGGGUGCGUAGACGGGAAGGCAAGUUAGUUGUGAAAUCCCUCGGUUUAACUGAGGAACUGCAACUAAAACUGAUUUUCUUGAGUGUUGGAGAG